UGUUUCUUCAGCUCUCACUCUAUCUCUUUCUCUGCUCUCACUUCGACAAAUUCUCUCUCUACUCUCACUUUACCCUUCAAACCCUAGUGGUUUCUUCACUGUGCCUCAUGUUCCGGCGCCUUAAUCUCCCCCUUAAAUUCAUUCUACAACUCAUCAGAUCUAGCUAAGAAAGCCACAACAACGAAAAACCAUACUCAUCCUAACUCAGUGAAGCAUACAUCAACAAAUCAAGAAGUUCGUAAAAAUCAACAUCAAAAUCGUGUGCAUUGAUGAUUCAUCAUCACCGUCGUCAUCACCAUCGUAGGAGAAAUGACUUUUUUCUUGCAAAGUUUUUGUUUUUCCUCAUUCAACAUUAAACUCAAGAUGAAGAUUUAUAGGAGAGACGAACAAUUACACGAUUUAAGCUGAUGGUGAAGGUUUUCGGUAAGUUGACGAUGGUGGUGUCUUGGACUGCAAUGACAUUUCAUGCGCAGAUCCGAUGACGACAUCAAAAAAGACAGUGAUAGAGUGCGGUGUUGGUUUGUCAAAAAUGUCUGAAGUUGUGUCAUCCGCCCUGGUUUUAAGGAGUUUAAUGGUGACACAUAUUUUGUGUAAUGAGUAACUUCAAAUCACAGUACAUCAAUAUUUCACAUGAAGUUGCAUGUCGAGCUUCUAAGUACUCCUUUGUUGAGCUUCUAAUCGACUCAUAAAAUGUGUUUUUGUGAUGGUGGAACUGAUUCUUGCAAAUUCUUGCGCAUAACUACAUCAAGUGUUCAUCUCGUCAUUUGUUUGGUUUCAAGCUGAUUAAAGUAAUUUUGAUUAAUGACUGCGUUAAUAUCCGUUGACAACUGUGUAAUUGUUGACGAUGACAAGGUUAUACCCACGGGAAGGAAUCGAAUUACUAAGACACGAAAUGUAAUCUAUUCAGGGUUACAUUUUAGUUUUGAUACAUGAUUGGAAGCACCUCAUUUCUUAAACCUUAGUCUUUUAAGAUAUAGAGACAUUAAUAUUGCUAAAUAAUUCUCUAUUCUUAUUACUUAGUCACUAUUUUACAGACUACAGGACACGCAAAAAUGGAAGUUGUAGACAUGCAUCUAGAACAAUGGCAGAAAAUGGACUUUCAAUGGACUUCCAAAUUCUUACUGACAUAAAUUUAAUUUUGUUUUAUGCUUCUGUACUAUUUCAAAGCAUGAGAUUUGGCAGAGAUGCAUCUAUUUACUCCUCAGCCUUGACCGAAGUAGGGAUUUGGAAAUUGAAUAUGUACACCAUUUGGUUGUCGCCUGUUUAGAAUUGAUUACACCGUUCCAUCAAUAAACCGAGAAUUUGGAA